GCUCAGAUUGAACGCUAGCGGGAUGCCUUACACAUGCAAGUCGAACGGCAGCACGGACUUCGGUCUGGUGGCGAGUGGCGAACGGGUGAGUAAUGUAUCGGAACGUGCCUAGUAGCGGGGGAUAACUACGCGAAAGCGUAGCUAAUACCGCAUACGCCCUACGGGGGAAAGCAGGGGAUCGCAAGACCUUGCACUAUUAGAGCGGCCGAUAUCGGAUUAGCUAGUUGGUGGGGUAACGGCUCACCAAGGCGACGAUCCGUAGCUGGUUUGAGAGGACGACCAGCCACACUGGGACUGAGACACGGCCCAGACUCCUACGGGAGGCAGCAGUGGGGAAUUUUGGACAAUGGGGGAAACCCUGAUCCAGCCAUCCCGCGUGUGCGAUGAAGGCCUUCGGGUUGUAAAGCACUUUUGGCAGGAAAGAAACGUCAUGGGUUAAUACCCCGUGAAACUGACGGUACCUGCAGAAUAAGCACCGGCUAACUACGUGCCAGCAGCCGCGGUAAUACGUAGGGUGCAAGCGUUAAUCGGAAUUACUGGGCGUAAAGCGUGCGCAGGCGGUUCGGAAAGAAAGAUGUGAAAUCCCAGAGCUUAACUUUGGAACUGCAUUUUUAACUACCGAGCUAGAGUGUGUCAGAGGGAGGUGGAAUUCCGCGUGUAGCAGUGAAAUGCGUAGAUAUGCGGAGGAACACCGAUGGCGAAGGCAGCCUCCUGGGAUAACACUGACG
rnacentral:rRNA from 1 species